GAUGAACGCUGGCGGCGUGCCUAAUACAUGCAAGUCGAGCGAACAGACGAGGAGCUUGCUCCUCUGACGUUAGCGGCGGACGGGUGAGUAACACGUGGAUAACCUACCUAUAAGACUGGGAUAACUUCGGGAAACCGGAGCUAAUACCGGAUAAUAUAUUGAACCGCAUGGUUCAAUAGUGAAAGACGGUUUUGCUGUCACUUAUAGAUGGAUCCGCGCCGCAUUAGCUAGUUGGUAAGGUAACGGCUUACCAAGGCAACGAUGCGUAGCCGACCUGAGAGAGUGAUCGGCCACACUGGAACUGAGACACGGUCCAGACUCCUACGGGAGGCAGCAGUAGGGAAUCUUCCGCAAUGGGCGAAAGCCUGACGGAGCAACGCCGCGUGAGUGAUGAAGGUCUUCGGAUCGUAAAACUCUGUUAUUAGGGAAGAACAAAUGUGUAAGUAACUAUGCACGUCUUGACGGUACCUAAGCAGAAAGCCACGGCUAACUACGU
rnacentral:rRNA from 1 species